rnacentral:rRNA from 1 species
UACGUAGGGUGCGAGCGUUGUCCGGAAUUACUGGGCGUAAAGAGCUCGUAGGUGGUUUGUCGCGUUGUUCGUGAAAUCUCACGGCUUAACUGUGAGCGUGCGGGCGAUACGGGCAGACUAGAGUACUGCAGGGGAGACUGGAAUUCCUGGUGUAGCGGUGGAAUGCGCAGAUAUCAGGAGGAACACCGAUGGCGAAGGCAGAUCUCUGGGCCGUAACUGACGCUGAGGAGCGAAAGCGUGGGGAGCGAACAGG